GUUUUGAGUUGUUUCACGUUCUCUGGCCGCCACUGCUCCAUCUCUCUCCGUCGGCGCGCGUCCACCGCUUCCGACGGGGAUCCCUAAUUGGAUGGCGCGGCGAUCCGUACUUAUCCACUAUGGUACGAUUCUUGGCCUCCAUUAAACAGCGCCUUUUCGCCGCCACCCAUAUCCCCACCGGACGCCUCUCCAUGUCGCCACCCUCAUGCGAUCCUGCCCUCUCGAUCCCCGCGUUGCUCCGGACUUUUUCCGCUGGAUCAAACGACACCCAUGUUUCCUUCACACCUUCGAUUCCUGUUCUUCCCUGCUUCAAAUCGUUGCCAGAUUCGGCCUCCACCGCCCCGCCGAGGAGAUCGUUGUCUCCGUGAUUAGGGCUCCAGAUGAUCGCUAAUAUGAAGGACUUAUACGAACAAAUUCAAAAAAGAUGAUAUAUUUCCCAAUCUUCAUAUCUACAAUACAAUGAUCAAUGCAAAUUGCAAGGAAGGGAAAGUUAUCGAUGAAUUAGAUCCAGAUACUCACACAUACAGCUCAUUCAUCUUGGUCUAUUGUGCAGAUGAUGAUUUGGAGCAGGGUCUGGUCCCAAAUGUUGUUACUUUACAAUGUUUUGAUUGAUGGCUACUGCAAAAUUAGGAAGGUUGAUCACACCUUCCAUUCCAUGUAUUGGAUUUGAGGAAGUCCAGAGGGUGUAAGCCAAAUGUGAGGACUUAUACUGAAUUAGUUUGUGGGCUUUUCUUCAGAUGAGGAUGCACAAGGCAAUGGCAUUAUUAACUAAGAUGCUUAAGGAUGCAGUACUAACCAUGUCAAUUACACUACAUUGGUUCAGGGAUACUAUAUGGAAAGUGACACAAAAAAUUGGAUUUAGGUUGCUGCAUUUGAUGGAGAAGCGAGGCUUAGUUCCCAUGAUAACUGAAAUGAAGAGAAAUAGAGUUGACAAUCCAUAUAUUGAUGGAUUGAUAAAUGUGAGUUUUUUUGGUCAAGCUUUGUCUAGUUCUAUAUUAUGAUAAAAGAUGCAUGUGAGCCCAAUGAUGAAACUUACUUCCUAUUGCUGAAAUCCUAUUGAAAAAGAAAUAAGCUGAUGUUACCUUCAUAGAUGAUGCUGAUAUGUGGGGAAAAGUGGGUAUCGAUAUAGUCUCAAAGCUGUUUACAAGAUUCUGAACAAGGUUGCAACCCAAUAGUAAAAUCUUACAGUUUUUUGUUGAAGCUUUUUGCAAGGUGCAUCACUUGGUGGAAGCUAAGGCUUUGCUCUUCCACAUGCAAGAAGCCUCUAAACUUCCUAAUGCAGAUACAUAUACACCUCUAAUUAUUUGUUGCUGUAGACUAAACAAGUAUUUAGAAGCUCUAUCAUUUUUUGAUUCCAUGGUUUCAUGUGGUCAUCUGCCAUAUCUUGCAUCUUAUCAGCUACUGCAUUGAGCAUUCUGGACAUUGUGAAGAAGGAAGCUUUGAUGAAGUUAAAUCAGUUUUCACUAGCUUUCUUUUGAAGGGUUAUAGUUGCGAUGAAAUUGCAUGGAAGAUUCUCAUUGACACUUUACUUGAGAAAGGUCAUCUUGAUUUGUGCUCUGAUUGUUUGACUAUGAUGGAGGAAUGAAGUGUUUUCCUAGUCCUGUGAUAUAUACAGCUUUGGCCAAGAAACAUUCAUAUGUAAUUAAUGGGCUCCCUAAUGAUUGACAUUGACUUGCAGAUAUCUAUAUAUCAAAGCUUCAUAUGUUCACAUUGGACCAGUUCAAAUGCACAAAGCAAUUUGUUCAGUAAUGUAAUCAGUGUUGUGCAUUUGGAACAGAUUUUGAUCUUUGAAGAUCCCAUUCAAAGAUCCAAGCAGCUAUCUCAUUGGAGAGUCAAACCAUCAUUGGGCAGGGAUUAGGGGAAGCCAGCUUGCAGUGAUGAAAAAGAGUUGAGCAUCGCCUAAGUUCAAACCAUCAAGAGUGUUUUUUUAGCUUAUUCUUUUAUAGGAACUCUCCUGUGCCUUUGCUGCUACCGAGGAGCUGACGGUAUGGUAUUACUGGGCGACAUAUAAUAAUUUGCAUUCUAGGGAACAAAUGACAAUUUCAAAAUCAUAGGGGUAAAGUAAUAUUUUCCAUUUUCUUCUUUUUUGUAUUAUUGAAAAUUUCUUUGUUGCUGUCUUUCUUGGUUCUUAAUUUUCUUCUGCUUCAAUUACUAACUCCUAGAUCUUGAUUCUGGAUAGUUUAUUGUUAUAAGAACAUCCUGGAAUAGUACUAAUUUAAUGACUUCAAAACUUGACAGAUGGAUUUGGAUUAGUGCAACCUUACGUGUUUGGUAUCUCUACAAUGAGUCGUGGUAAAGAGUAUUCAAUACACUCAUAUGUCCACAAUCUCUUGCUCACCUUUAGAUUUUGAAACAGUAAAUCGAAUUGUAGAAUAUUAUUUCCCUGAAUGAAGUAAAUAACUUUCAACUAUAAAAAAAUUUAUUGUCCCCAUGGAGGUGUCUAGUUGGCUAGAGGGUGAUAUAUUUGCUACAAUGGGACAGAUUAAUUCUCAGGGGGAAAAUUUCUUCCACCCUCUAGUCACUUGCCAGUUUAUUAUAAGUUGAUCUCGUGAUUUACUUCCCUUCACAUAAUUUGGGGACAAGUUGUGAAGGGCACCUGAAAUAAGCAUAAUCACUUUUUACUGCAGCAACUAUAACAAAAAUUAUUAUUUUACCUCAUUUGGCAUGGACACAAUGAUUAUGUUUUAAUGAUAAAUUGGUGAGUACAAACCAAUCACUACCAAAAAAAAAAAAAAGUUAGCAGUUAGGAAGGAAAAAAAAAUAGGUUGGAAAGUUGAUUUAGUACAAAUAAAAUAGAUAAAUAUAUGAUGGAACAAAUCAUUGAUUGAUUAUGUUCCUAGAAGACCAAGAUCAAAUCUAGCAACAUAUGGAUGUCUAGAUUCAUUUGUUUGAUUUUGUUCAUCUCGUCCACUUUGAAGAAACCCUACUUCAAUCAUGUACUCAAUUUUCAACUGUAUGUCCUUUAUACAAAAGGAUGAGAUAGAAAGAAAUACUUUUCCUUAAUGGAUAGUAGAUCUGAGAAUGUUGGCUUUCAGGAUGAGCUUCCAUGUGCACUUUCUCGAUUUAUCCAGGUGUCCGGUGGGAAAUUUCGUGGGACUAGACCGAUCAUUCCAGAUUUGACGUUACCUGACCUACUUAAUCAUUUUUUUAAUGAGAUAGAAUGAAAGAGAUAUUUGCUUGCAUAAUGUAAGUAUAAAAGUUAUAUUUAUUUAGUCCAUUAUUGAUUAUUUAUGAUGACAUAGUCAAAAUUAAAAAUAUUUUCUCAAAUUAGUUCACUUCAAACUCACUCCAUGACAAAUCCAAAAAACCUAAAGUUUAUUGAACGUUUAUCUUUUUACCAAAAUAGGUUUUGCCUCAGGGUUUCAUUCAGUUCAAUUUAUUGUUCCGUAUGUUUAUAGACUUUUAAAGUUUGAUAUUUAUUUUACAAAUAAUCUAAUAAAUUUAAGAACUUUUGCCUUGUCUAAUUUAUUACAAUAAUACAAGGUCAUGUUGCUAAAUUCUAGGUAAACUCUAAAGUGGAUUCCAUUAUCAUCCAACUAAUUCUUUACAAGAUAUUCUCACUAACCAUGAACAUAUUUCCUAUAAAUCAAUUUUAGCUUACCUCUACUUUCCAGGCACUACUACAACUUAAUAUUCCCUUUUUCUUCUUGUUGUUGUUCUCCUUGUUUCCUUCCUCCUUGUCCCCUUUAGGCGCCCUCGAACUAGGAGCAUCAACAAUACAAUCAAAAGCGAUUUUGACUAUGGCGAUAUCGACAAUAAGGCAUGUGGAUUUCAGCUACCGAUAUGUAUAAGAUGACAAGGAGUUUCUUGCGGACAUAGGUUGAGACCACUAGGAGAUAACUAUAGAAACAAGAACUUUAUUGUGGUUUUUUGUUUAUUGUGGUUAUUUGUUUAUUGUGAUGGAUCGAUACCAAUUGAAGUCGAAGUGGUCCUCAAUGUUUCAUUGUUGUAAAUUAAGUAUUGGAGCCAUGAUUAUUUAAGUAGUUAAUCAAGGAGUGGGGAUGCUGUAGGAUUGUUUAAUAUAAAGAGGAUAAAAAGGUAUCGAAUGACUUAUUUGUGCUAUUUGGUCUUUUUUUUAAAAAAAAAAAAAUAAUAAAAUACGGAGGGAAUAUCUCUA